GUCGUCCUACGGGACGCAGCAGUGAGGAAUAUUGGUCAAUGGACGGAAGUCUGAACCAGCCAUGCCGCGUGCAGGAAGACGGCUCUAUGAGUUGUAAACUGCUUUUGUACAAGGGUAAACCUGAAUACGUGUACUCAGCUGAAAGUACUGUACGAAUAAGGAUCGGCUAACUCCGUGCCAGCAGCCGCGGUAAUACGGAGGAUCCAAGCGUUAUCCGGAUUUAUUGGGUUUAAAGGGUGCGUAGGCGGAUUGAUAAGUUAGAGGUG
rnacentral:rRNA from 1 species